rfam:'Echinacea purpurea' witches'-broom phytoplasma strain NCHT2014 contig_04, whole genome shotgun sequence.
GCAAGCCGGAUGCUGGGAAACUUGCUUGUCCGGUUUAGAUGGGGGCUGUUUGUAAUAGAUAUCAAAAAUACCAAUUUUGAUAUUGAAACGAAAAUAUUCUAUCCAUAU